CCUACGGGAGGCAGCAGUGAGGAAUAUUGGUCAAUGGACGAGAGUCUGAACCAGCCAAGUAGCGUGAAGGAUGACUGCCCUAUGGGUUGUAAACUUCUUUUAUAUGGGAAUAAAAUGUUCCACGUGUGGGAUUUUGUAUGUACCAUAUGAAUAAGGAUCGGCUAACUCCGUGCCAGCAGCCGCGGUAAUACGGAGGAUCCGAGCUUUAUCCGGAUUUAUUGGGUUUAAAGGGAGCGUAGGUGGAUUGUUAAGUCAGUUGUGAAAGUUUGCGGCUCAACAGUAAAAUUGCAGUUGAAACUGGCAGUCGUGAGUACAGUAGAGGUGGGCGGAAUUCGUGGUGUAGCGGUGAAAUGCUUAGAUAUCACGAAGAACUCCGAUUGCGAAGGCAGCUCACUGGACUGCAACUGACACUGAGGCUCGAAAGUGUGGGUAUCAAACAGGAUUAGAUACCCGAGUAGUC
rnacentral:rRNA from 1 species